UAUAGAGAAACAGUUAUUCAGACACAUAACGUGCUGGGUUUCAUUCAAAGGAGUAUUACUACUUUAGGAGGAGCAGACAUUGCCUGGAGUCAAAGCAGAGGCAUAAAAAAAGCGCCCUCAGGCGCUUUUUAUUUUUA
rnacentral:sRNA from 16 species